GAGCUCACUUCAGCAGCACGUAUACUAUAACUGGAACAAUACAGAGAAGAUUAGCAUGGCCCUUGUGCAAGAAUGACAUGCAAAUUCAUGAAGCCUUCCAUAUUUUG
ensembl:snRNA U6 U6 spliceosomal RNA